rnacentral:rRNA from 1 species
GCGAAAGGGAUUAGAUACCCCUGUAGUCCUAGCAGUAAACGGUGCACGCUUGGUGUGAGGGGAAUCGACCCCCCUUGUGCCGGAGCUAACGCGUUAAGCGUGCCGCCUGGGAAGUACGGUCGCAAGACUAAAACUCAAAGAAAUUGACGGGGACCCGCACAAGCGGUGGAGUAUGUGGCUUAAUUCGAUGCAACGCGAAGAACCUUACCAAGGCUUGACAUGCAUCUCUAGACACGUGAAAGCGUGUGACCCUUCGGGGAAUUUGCACAGGUGCUGCAUGGCCGUCGUCAGCUCGUGUCGUGAGAUGUUGGGUUAAGUCCCGCAACGAGCGCAACCCUUGUGAUUAGUUGCCAGCACGUUAAGGUGGGAACUCUAGUCAGACUGCCCAGAUCAACUGGGAGGAAGGUGGGGACGACGUCAGGUCAGUAUGGCCCUUACGCCUUGGGCUGCACACGUACUACAAUGCCCAGCACAAUGAGAACCGAUACCGCGAGGUGGAGGAAAUCUGUAAAACUGGGCUCAGUUCGGAUUGGAGGCUGCAACUCGCCUCCAUGAAGUUGGAAUCGCUAGUAAUGGGGCAUCAUCUACGGCCCCGUGAAUACGUUCCCGGGUCUUGUACACACCGCCCGUCACAUCAUGGAA